UGAAGAGGAGUUUCUCCAUCAUCCCCUGCUUUGUCUUCGUGGAGUCGGUGCUGCUGGGCAUCGUGAUCCUGCUUGCUUACCGCCUGGAGUUCACGGACACCUUCCCUGUGCACACCCAGGGAUUCUUCUGCUAUGACAGUACCUACGCCAAGCCCUACCCAGGGCCUGAGGCUGCCAGCCGAGUGCCUCCUGCUCUCGUCUACGCACUGGUCACUGCCGGGCCCACCCUCACGGUGAGACAAUGAAGGCCUCCUAGGAGGUAGGUGGGUGGGUGAGGGGAUGGGCUGGAAGGCCAGAAGACUCCAUCUUGGUCUUGCCCGCAGAUCCUGCUGGGAGAGCUGGCGCGUGCCUUUUUCCCUGCACCACCUUCAGCCAUCCCAGUCAUCAGGGAGAGCAC
rnacentral:sRNA from 1 species